UACGUAGGGUGCAAGCGUUUCGAUCGAAUUGUGGCGUAAAGAGCUCGUAGGCGGCCCUCUCAGUCGGAUGUGAAAUCCCCCAGGCUUAACCUGGGAACGGCAUCCGAUACUGGAGGGCUUGAAUUCGGGAGAGGGAUGCAGAAUUCCAGGUGUAGCGGUGAAAAUGCGUAGAUAUCUGGAGGAAUACCGGUGGCGAAGGCGGCAUCCUGGACCGAGAUUGACGCUGAGGAGCGAAAGCUAGGGGAGCAAACGGG
rnacentral:rRNA from 1 species